UGCGAAUGGCUCAUUAAAUCAGUUAUCGUUUAUUUGAUAGUACCUUACUACUUGGAUAACCGUGGUAAUUCUAGAGCUAAUACAUGCUGAAAACCCCGACUUCGGGAGGGGUGUAUUUAUUAGAUAAAAAACCAAUGCCCUUCGGGGCUUCUUGGUGAUUCAUGAUAACUAAACGGAUCGCAUGGCCUUGCGCCGGCGACGGUUCAUUCAAAUUUCUGCCCUAUCAACUUUCGAUGGUAAGGUAUUGGCUUACCAUGGUUUCAACGGGUAACGGGGAAUUAGGGUUCGAUUCCGGAGAGGGAGCCUGAGAAACGGCUACCACAUCCAAGGAAGGCAGCAGGCGCGCAAAUUACCCAAUCCCGACACGGGGAGGUAGUGACAAUAAAUACUGAUACAGGGCUCUUUUGGGUCUUGUAAUUGGAAUGAGUACAAUUUAAACCUCUUAACGAGGAACAAUUGGAGGGCAAGUCUGGUGCCAGCAGCCGCGGUAAUUCCAGCUCCAAUAGCGUAUAUUAAAGUUGUUGCAGUUAAAAAGCUCGUAGUUGAACCUUGGGCCUGGCUGGCAGGUCCGCCUCACCGCGUGUACUUGUCCGGCCGGGCCUUUCCUUCUGGAGAACCUCAUGCCCUUCACUGGGUGUGCUGGGGAACCAGGACUUUUACUUUGAAAAAAUUAGAGUGUUCAAAGCAGGCCUUUGCUCGAAUACGUUAGCAUGGAAUAAUAGAAUAGGACGUGCGGUCCUAUUUUGUUGGUUUCUAGGACCGCCGUAAUGAUUAAUAGGGACAGUCGGGGGCAUCAGUAUUCAAUUGUCAGAGGUGAAAUUCUUGGAUUUAUUGAAGACUAACUACUGCGAAAGCAUUUGCCAAGGAUGUUUUCAUUAAUCAGUGAACGAAAGUUAGGGGAUCGAAGACGAUCAGAUACCGUCGUAGUCUUAACCGUAAACUAUGCCGACUAGGGAUCGGGCGAUGUUCUCAUUUUGACUCGCUCGGC
rnacentral:rRNA from 1 species